GCUUGUCUCAAAGAUUAAGCCAUGCAUGUCUAAGUAUAAAUAGUAUACAGUGAAACUGCGAAUGGCUCAUUAAAACAGUUAUAGUUUAUUUGAUAAUUGAAAAUUACAUGGAUAACCGUGGUAAUUCUAGAGCUAAUACAUGCUAUCAAGCCCGACUUCUUGAAGGGUUGUAUUUAUUAGACUUAAGCCAAUAUUCCUUGUGUCUAUUGCGAUGAUUCAUAAUAACUGAUCGAAUCUCAAAUUUGAGAUAAAUCAUUCAAGUUUCUGACCUAUCAUGCUGGAUGGUAGUGUAUUGGACUACCAAGGCAGUCACGGGUAACGGAGAAUUAGGGUUCGAUUCCGGAGAAGGAGCCUGAGAAACGGCUACUACAUCUAAGGAAGGCAGCAGG
rnacentral:rRNA from 1 species